UUUUAUUGGAGAGUUUGAUCCUGGCUCAGGACGAACGCUGGCGGCGUGCCUAAUACAUGCAAGUCGAGCG
rnacentral:rRNA from 1 species